GACUUGUACUUUUGAAGGACUCAGGUUAGUUUUACUUUAUUUGUGCAUAUGUAAGUAUGUAUAUGCACGCAAACAGGAGAUACACUGCAGUAUUUUGUUAUCAAAAAAGUUGCUCUUUUCAUUGGUUGGCUUACUUCACAGUGUAAUAGACUUUUUGUGUGUUAGGGAUCAGGAUAUCUUAUUAUUCAGGAACUUUUGUUAUUACUUAUAGUUGCAUGGAAAUAUGUUGAUGAAU
rnacentral:misc_RNA from 1 species